UAUCGACGAGUUUGAUCCUGGCUCAGGAUGAACGCUAGCGGGAGGCCUAAUACAUGCAAGUCGAGCGGUAUAGAGACUUCGGUUUCUAGAGAGCGGCGCACGGGUGAGUAACGCGUACAUGACCUACCUUCAAGCCUGGGAUAGCCCUGGGAAGCUGGGAUUAAUACCGGAUGUGAUAAUAAGUUUGGAUAUUUAUUAUUAAAGUUACGGCGCUUGGAGAUGGGUGUGCGUCUGAUUAGCUAGUUGGCGAGGUAACGGCUCACCAAGGCGACGAUCAGUAGGGGGCGUGAGAGCGUGACCCCCCACACGGGUACUGAGACACGGACCCGACUCCUACGGGAGGCAGCAGUAAGGAAUAUUGGUCAAUGGGCGAAAGCCUGAACCAGCCAUCCCGCGUGCAGGAUGAAGGUCCUAUGGAUUGUAAACUGCUUUUAUCAGGGAAGAAACGCCUUCAUUCAUGAGGGUCCGACGGUACCUGAGGAAUAAGCACCGGCUAACUCCGUG
rnacentral:rRNA from 1 species